rnacentral:rRNA from 1 species
UGCGUAGGCGGGCUAAUAAGUCAGUGGUGAAAUCUCUCGGCUCAACCGGGAGACUGCCAUUGAUACUGUUAGUCUUGAGUUCGGUUGAGGUAGGCGGAAUGUGUAAUGUAGCGGUGAAAUGCUUAGAUAUUACACAGAACACCAAUUGCGUAGGCAGCUUACUAGACCGACACUGACGCUGAGGCACGAAAGCGUGGGGAGCGAACAGGAUUAGAUACCCUGGUAGUCC